CCUUGUUUGCCUUGAUAAGGAGGAGUUUGGUCAUCACCCCUGAGACAAUAGUAACUUAUGGUGGAUUUGCCGGCAGUGGAAGGGGAUUCUUGUUUAUUCUUAAAACAGUGUAGAGCGAAAACUGAAGACAAUCUCUCGAAGUAGACUGCCAGGCAAGGUAAAGGCCCAAGGUAAAAAUCCACAGGGUCAGAGAUGUACUUCUGUGAUGAAAAGGUUGCUUGGUAUGCAAAGACUCUGGAUUGGAGCCUCAAUAUUGCCCACAACAACAACUACGACUACAAAAAUAAAUGAAUAACUGAAAUUAAAUUGAAAGUGAGGAGAAGAAGAGCCCUCUAAUUCCAGCACUGGGGAGGCCGAGGCAUACGUUUUUGAAGUUCAAGGCCAGCUUGGACUUCACAGCAAUACAGUCUCAAAUAUUAAACAGAG
rnacentral:lncRNA from 1 species